GGGCUCAGUGGAGGAGCAUCUGGUUUGCAUGCAGAAGGUCCCAGGUUCAAUCCCUAGCA
rnacentral:tRNA from 1 species